CAAGUGACGCAUGGUUUCUCCCGUCAUCCUCUUCUGCGUGUCUCUGAUUAGCCCUGCCCACCCGUUUCCCAAACAGCUGCAGAACACAGGCCAGCAAAAUGGUUCCUCCUGUGCAGGUUUCACCGCUUAUUAAGACGGCCAGAUGGUCAGCCUUGCUUGUUGGUAUCAUUUACGGCAAAAGGAGAUAUGACAACUUGAAGCCCAUAGCGGAAGAGGAGAGGCGGAUCGAGGAGGCGGAGAAGAAGGAGAGGGAGGAAAAAGAGCGCAUUGCCAAGGAGUUGGCGGAAGCCAGCGAAGAUACCAUUCUGAAGUAAAUGCACUGGUAUUAAAUUUGUUUAUUGGAAUAAAGAUGAAAUAUGA